UAAUACCAUUCGUUCCCAAAUUAUGGUAAGUUUUAGCUAGAAGUAAAAGUAUUGUAAUUCGGCUUAUAAUGCAGAAAAGCUCAUAAUGAUAUCAAAAAUGAUAUCACGUAAAUUUCAUUAUAGUUUCGCCAAGCAAAUCAUUAUCAUCGGCAGGCGUCCACCUUGUAAUCGCGCUCACACACAUAUAGGUUAGAUUUUGCGAGCAGAUUUGAAUAUUAAACUGCAUGAUCAGAGGUCUGGGGCCAGUUGAGUUUAAUCUUGGGUUGACUUGAAAUUUCAAUUAAUUACGCAAACUUUUGAUCUUGUCUUGAAUUUGUUUAUUUUAUAUUUAUAUAUUUAUCAUAUAUAAUUAUCAUUUAUAGGUUUAUCAUUAUAUUAUUGUUUUAUUGGGACUGCUCCAACUUUGAAUUGGAUCAUGAAGUGGUUCUCUCGUGUUGAUGCUGGUCCAAGCUCCAAAAAACUAAGAGUAUUAAGCAGGAAUAAUAUAAGAAAAUAAUUCUUCAUGUACUGUGUGGAAUUGAAAUCAGGGAUUUUAAUUCAAUCAUCUAUAUCAGUGUUUGUAACAAACUGUGACCAAAUUUGGAUUGUUUUCGCAGACUCG